GAGAUGAGAGUCUGUGAAAUUAGGAUUUGAGAAUUUUGGGAGAGAAAGAACCGGUGUGGACAUGGGAGGGGGCAGAUCGCGGCGGUGGAAGGGAGCGGGGUGGUCCGGCGAAGCAGAUCGCAGCGGUGGGAGGGGCGGGGGCGCGGUGGGGUAGAUUGCGUCGGCGGGGGAGGGGAGAACCGAAUGUGAGAGAUGGGAGAAGGGGAAUUGGUUUUAGGGUUUGGAAGUGGGGUAGAGAAAUAUUAGAUUUUAUAUUUUUUAAAAUAAAAUAAGUGAUGUGGAUGCAUAUUGCCAUGUCAGCGAUACAGAAUUGAGCUAGAAGCUCUAGAAUUGCAAGGAUUUUAAUUCUUGAAUUCUUAGACAUGCCACAUAGGACCCCGG
rnacentral:lncRNA from 1 species